CAGAUCUGUAGGUAUGUUGGUGAGUCAGCCGAGCUCUGCUGUGAGGACCAGCGAUGGGGAGAGCGUCAUGAGACCAGCCAGUAAAAUUCCACUACUCCCUGGAGCCUAGUGGGAGACUGUAAGCUCUUGAGGGAUACGAGUACUUGUCAAUGUCUUCAACUCCCAGUCAGUUUUGAACAAGCCCCUCCUCUUUCACGUCACACUGUAGUCUGCAGUUAGCUGGUCCUGACUACCAGGCACACAGUGGGCAUCAGUGUCAACUUGACUGGAUCUGGGA